AACAAACGCUGGCGGCGUGCCUAACACAUGCAAGUCGUACGAGAAAGUUGGCUUCGGCCGAUGAGUAAAGUGGCGCACGGGUGAGUAACGCGUGGAUAAUCUGCCCCUCAGUUGGGAAUAACUCAUCGAAAGGUGAGCUAAUACCGAAUAAUACUGUGAGACCCCGGUCGAUCAGUCAAAGUGAGCCUCUGCUUGCAAGCUUUCGCUGAAGGAUGAGUCCGCGUACCAUUAGCUAGUUGGUAGGGUAAUGGCCUACCAAGGCUACGAUGGUUAGCUGGCCUGAGAGGGCGGCCAGCCACACUGGAACUGAGACACGGUCCAGACUCCUACGGGUGGCUG
rnacentral:rRNA from 1 species